rnacentral:siRNA from 1 species
AGAUGUCCCAUUGCAGUCAAGGUC